rnacentral:snRNA from 1 species
AUAAAGAUAACUUUUGUG